GCUAGGUGAACACUCUGCUUCACUACUAAGCUCAACUUCAGAUAAUAAAGCUAGAGGCAGAGGCUGAGUAGUCAGAGGUGGCAGGUGACCUGGGCCUGGGAAGGCAGCAGCAGCAGCAGCAGCAGCAGCAGCAGCAGCAGCAGCAGCAGCAGCAGCAGCAAGGGAAGCAGAGAGGCUGGAACAGAGUCAGUCAGAAGCCAUCAGGGCUGGGCGUGCCAUCAGUCGGGAGGGCACUGAGAGAUGUGGUUGGUGAGAGGAGGGCCAGAGAGAGUACCAGGCCAGCCCCUAGUUGUUACAAUCAAAAGCCCAAACUUAGUCUGGACCACGUUCUCCUGACCUUUCCUGACCCUGGGCAGGAAGGGAGCACCCGGAUCUCUCGUAGUAAACAUCCUUUUGAGUUUUUGGCCUCUUACCCACCCGGUCUGCUUUUCCUCCAGCUUAGAAACCCACAGAUCUCAACCUGUACUCGCAGCUCUCCUUCUGCCCAAACCUCAGCUCUUCUGGGAGAACUGAUGGCUUCCGGGUGUUAUUGGCAAAUGAAUUUGUACUGAAGUGUGAAUGUCUGAUAGAAAGCCCUAGUGGUCUGGUGAAGCCCAGACGACAAAAGAACGGGGAGAGAAGGAAGGUAAGUGGAGCAGACCUGAGCUAGCCCACAAUUGGCUGGGUAACCUUGGCAUGUUCCUUCCCACUCUGGGCUCUUUCUUUUCCUCUGCAGCAAGGAAGUUGUUCUUCCCAGAUGGACUCAAAGUUCCUAAGGGGUCCAGCUCGCAACAGCCAGAUUGGACCCCAAGUAAUUUUACAGCCCUCCAGAGCUUCUCUGAGAUCCAGACCCACCCUCUAUGGUUGCUGGGAACAGGGGCUACUGUUCCUGAUACAGCUGCUGCCCCUGGACCAUGGCGUCUAUCCCAGUUGCUGCCCUGGUGGGAAGCCGGCAGGGACAUUCAGGACUGUGUGAUUCCUGGCUAUGACACCUGGUACCCGGAUUCAGAUCCUGCCUCUGUGGGAGAGCAUCCUGGUGGCUCUGGCCUGAGGUGAGCUCUAUGCCCUAUGGAUGAACAGGCUUACCUGUGUAUUAUAUCGGACUAGAAACAUGUGAAAGCAAUACAGACAUUUCUCCACUACCCACAAAUGGUGCAUCUCUUCUCCCCGCACCCCAGGACUGGGGACUGGACUCAGGGCCUCCCGCUUGCUAGCCUAGCAUUCAGCCACUGAUAGACAACCCCAGCAAGGUCAACAUCUCUGUGCGGCUGUCUGUCCCACAGGACACAGCUGGUUCUGCACAUGUGCCCUGUGCUACACUGUCUGCGGUCAGGCCUGGUCCCCUGCAGCGAGGCCUUCCCCCUCACCUCCGCACAGAAUGAUGGCGGCAAUGAAAAGGGCCAGAUCACUGUCGUCCAGCUCCAGAGCAUUGAACUUGACAGCAAACUCGAACUUGGGCUCAAUGAUGUCACUGAAGGGCUUGCGGAUACUGCGCAAGAACUCAUGGGUGACGAAGCCACUGCCGUUGGCCACCAGCAGUCCGUCUUUGUUGACAAUGGAGGCCAGCAUGGCAAAGAUGGCCUCAUGCACGCCGUACUUGAGGAGGGUCACCUGGUCGUUGAGGAAGAGGCUGCUGAAGUUGGGGAUGUUCUUGGCGAACUCGGUGAGCUCCCGCACUGUCUCCACGGUGGUGGACUGGCAGCGGUAGAACACAUGCACGCUGAUCUCGUUGUAGGGCGGCGGCCCGUUCACCAGCUGCUUCCACACCAGGCCCUUCUCUGCCUGCCACAGCGUCUCAAUGUCGUGGAUGAUGAAGGGCUGAAAACCAGGCCCAUCAGAGGCCAGGCCUGGGGAAGGGCAGGGGCCCCGCCCUCGUGUCCCCUGAACCCCACCUCAUGGCCGGGCUGGCCAGCGACACUCACUGCGUUAUGGCUGGACUUGCCAGUGAGGAUGCUCCGGGCCUUCUUUUUGGUCAUGUUGAAGUUUUUCAGGUAGGCAUUGUAGAUGUGCUUGGAGAAGGCCUUCAGGUCGGCCAGCUGGGGGUUUUGCUGGCAUCCCUCGCUGGCCGUCAGCCCCGCCACCAGCUUCCUCUUCUCGGCCUCCGGCAUCCUUCCAAAGCGGAUAGCUGCAUAGGGGGUGGGGGCCAGUCAUGGGGGAGCUGCCAGGGGCCAGCACCUCUUCUUCCCCGCUCCUCUCAGGUGUGGGGUGAAGGGGAAUCACUCUUUAGGAGCCUGGCGUCCUCAGAGGCCCCACCUCCCUGAGAGCCUUUGCUGACUGGACUGGGGGCUGGCCAGGCAUGGCAACUAGAAAGGGCCUGUGGUGACCAGGGCCACACCUGAGUCCUGGCUCUUCACCUGUCUGCUAUGUGGCUUUGUUCCUUCACCUUCUCUAUGGGUGCAAGCACUUUCUAGAACAGUCAGGGGCUUUCACCAGAAGCGGUGAGAAGCCAGAGGCAUGGCUGGAGGGCUAAUGUGAGCACCUGAGGCCACAGAACUCAUGUGAAACAGCUGGGGGUGGGGGGAGGCCAACAGAGGUGAACCCCAGGACACACACACACACACACACACACACACACACACACUUACAAUCCAAGUUGUGGAAGUAGGCCGUGGCUUCUGUCAGAGAAAGCAUGAGGAAGGCUCAGUUUGCUUUGAGGCUUCCUAAGGCCCCAGUGACCCCCUGCCUUGGUACAGUGCCAGCAGGUACAGAUGGGCAAACUCACUGGAACCCACACUUAUGGGGAGCCAUAGACGGCCUGAAGAUGCCCAGUGUGUGAGGUCUAGUGGUUAGCCACCAUAGUUUAAGCAGGAGGCUCCCUGUUCUCUGGAAGCCUAAGACAAGGAUGGCGACUGGGAGUCUCUGACUUAGAAAGUUCUACCUGGGUCCUGGCAGCUGCCACAUAGCUACACACUGGCUCCUGCCCACCUCCAACAAUUCAGGACGGGGGAAACCCUGGCCUCAGCUUUGUCUGUUCUGUCAGGCUCAAGUGUGGGGCGCAGCGUUGGCAACCCCACCCUUGACACUCGAAGUACAAGGGGGCGAGCCACAGGCACAGACAGCUAGGACCUGUGAGGUCUGAGGUUAUGUGACCUGGCGUCCGAAGCGAUCAUCGACAGCAAGUGCACACACUCAUCUGUGCCAGGCGCAGGUGCUGGGUGCCCUCCCUCUGAUAGCGGGGCCUGGGUCAGCUGCGCCACGCCAUGCGCCUGCGCCCUCGCCGCAGGCGCCCUCACCGUUGUGGGACAUGCCGAGCGCCAGGCACUUCUGGAAGCGGCAGUACUGACACUUGUUGCGGUUCUUCUUCUGGAUCUUGCAGAUCCGAUCGCACUUCUCGUACUUGAGCUUCAUGCGGAUUGUCCGGCGGAAGAAGCCCUGCGGAAUCAAGGACGUUAUAGGGGCCCAUGCUCCCCUGAGGCCCAGUGGCACGUAAGGACACAAAAGGACCGAAAUCGGGGAGUAAUGGGGAACAUUUUUUUUAAAUACAUGGCUAAUUUUUUACUGA